CUCCCUGUGGGCCUCCAAGGAAGGGAUGAGAGGGAAGGCUGGACAAUGAUGCCUGGUCCACUUCCCAGAGCUCAUCAGUGAAGGGAUGGGCGUGUAACCCGAAUGGAGAGUCUUGUCUUUGGAAACUAGAAGGCUCCCUUCUGAACAUGGACGUGCAGACAGAAGCGGGGCCAAGAUAUACUUUACAGAGGUGGCUCCGGCAUCUGGGUUCUGGUUUCCCAGCUUCUGCUUUCAGUCUCUCUGCUGAAGCUUGGUCACCCCUCAUGAUUUCAAGCUCGCUCAGAUGUGGAUUGUUUGUGAUUAUUUUCCCCCUUUAUUUAAAUUCUUUCACAUGGGCACAGUUACUGGCCGAGAAGAGUGUGGAGUGGUAGCUGAGUCAGAGAUACUUGACUUCAACACCUACUAACUGGGAAGACUUGCAAAAGUCAUCAUCUCUGCGAGUCUAAAUUUUCUCAAUCAUAGAAAUGAAACCUCAUUUGAACCAUGACUAUCUAGGGGGCCUUGCAAGAGGUGAGGAGUGAAGGUUUCUUUCCAGUUACAGCAACAUGAAGCAACACUUCCAGACAUCCUCGUCUAUAAAAUUGGAGCUGUGAUGAUUGGUGUCCAAGUUCCCAGCAUGGCUAUGGCUAUCCAAUACCAUGUAAUUCCCAUGGGAAGCAUUUAUGACUUCAUUUAAGGGACUAUUUGUAAGCUAUUGGCUUCUUCCAUUUGUUCCAUGGAGCAUGGAAAAUGAAUUUGCAAUCAACCCUCUUGGCCUGAUCCUACUGUUUCCACUAAG